rnacentral:ncRNA from 1 species
AAAAGCGCGUUGAAGAGGAAAAGUAGGAUGAACGGUAACGGACAGAGAGAGCUGUCUCGGCUGAAAGCAGCUUACGUUCACCCCAUCUGAACAUGCACCUCUGAGCCCUUGAUUGAACGGAAGGUAUACUUCAUUAGUAGGUCAAGGCGGCUUGCACCGUUAUUGCAGAAUUGAGAGGGGAAAUGGCAAAUCGACCAUUUCUCAAGCAGAGUGGGACCACGUGAAGAGCGUCUCUGUG